AUUGUACGCUGGCGGAAUGCUUUACACAUGCAAGUCGAACGGCAGCACGGGAGCUUGCUCCUGGUGGCGAGUGGCGAACGGGUGAGUAAUAUAUCGGAACGUAUCCAAUAAUGGGGGAUAACUAGUCGAAAGAUUAGCUAAUACCGCAUACGCCCUGAGGGGGAAAGCUAGGGACCGCAAGGCCUGGCGUUAAUGGAGCGGCCGAUAUCUGAUUAGCUAGUGGGUGAGGUAAGGGCUCACCAAGGCGACGAUCAGUAGCUGGUCUGAGAGGACGACCAGCCACACUGGAACUGAGACACGGUCCAGACUCCUACGGGAGGCAGCAGUGGGGAAUUUUGGACAAUGGGCGCAAGCCUGAUCCAGCCAUUCCGCGUGAGUGAAGAAGGCCUUCGGGUUGUAAAGCUCUUUCGCAAGGGAAGAAAACUUAUCCUCUAACAUAGGAUGAGGUUGACGGUACCUUGAUAAGAAGCACCGGCUAACUACGUGCCAGCCGCCGCGGUAACAC
rnacentral:rRNA from 1 species